GGAAAGGGUACGGCAAGAUCGCUGGAGGACGGUCCCGCGGCCUAUCAGCUGUUGGCGGGGUAAGGGCCCGACCAAGGCGAUGACGGGUAGCUGGCCUGAGAGGGUGGUCAGCCACACUGGAACUGAGACACGGUCCAGACUCCUACGGGAGGCAGCAGUUGGGAAUCUUGGGCAAUGGGCGCAAGCCUGACCCAGCGACGCCGCGUGGGGGAUGAAGGCCUUCGGGUUGUAAACCCCUGUCAGGAGGGACGAAGCCGCAAGGUGACGGUACCUCCAGAGGAAGCCCCGGCUAACUACGUGC
rnacentral:rRNA from 1 species